rnacentral:tRNA from 1 species
AGCUCAGCUGGUUAGAGCGCUUGAUUGUGGUUCAAGAGGUCGCCGGUUCGAAACCGGUCU